rnacentral:lncRNA from 1 species
UUUUGAUCGAUCAAUAGCCUUUGCUACCUGUAUUAAAUGCCCCUUUUAGUACAUCUGUGUAAAGGUUUGCUCCUGAAUUAAGCUGUUUGGGUAAAUUGAAAGAAUAUCACAUUGAGAAGCCUGGAAGUCUCGGACAACAAGCCAAAUUGGAAAGUUUGAUGUAAGUCUGACUAUCCAAAUCCAAGCAGUAGAAAUAAAUUAGUGGCGAACGCGAGAGCACUUCGCUGUUGAUCUCAACUACCUCCAUCUCGACUGAGUGAUUACGUGACUAGAGCGAAUUGAUAAUAUAGUUCUAAGAGUGUAACAUAGUUGUCUGAAGUGUAUGUUGAAGGUGUUACGCACAUAGUUGUCAAUGUCAUGCAUUCUAAAUAGCUGCCAAUACUUGUAAUUAGGUAUGCCAAUGUAGACUAUUUUAAGAAUUGUGCUGUAGUUUGGAUAGUAAUAUAUUUUGAGUGAACGGUAAAUUUUUUCAGUUUUGUUGGAUUCUACAACUCCACAUGCUUUGCGGAAGCCGGUAUGAUCGUUUUACAGUUUUAGUUUCCCCUCUUAUCAUGCCACAACUCUGUGUUGUGUUUGGUUGUUUUGAAUUUGGUUAUGUUACGUGAAUAAACAAGAAAGCAAUUGAAAAGUAGUUAUUGUUUAAGCUUUCAAGGCUGUAUGUUUCUUUUGUAUUAAUAAUUUUCGCAUCUUAGCGCAUGCGCAAAUGGUUUAGUUUGAGAUUCAGCUAAUUACUGAUACUUGUGGGAUUGAUGCUGUAUUUUCUAAAUAUUGAUAAUAACAACACAAACUGGGGGAUAACCAUGCACAUACUUUGCGGAAGCCGGUAUCGUUUCGUUGGUAAAGGCAAAACCAGGCGAGGCUCUGGCUCCCAUUGAUAAAGCUGCCAUAGUGUGCUAUGCAGUCACCAAUUUAACAGAGUUCAUUGUACCAUUUGAUCGAGGUGAACUUACAACCAGUUUGAUUCCAGGUACCUUAUGCACAAUUAAAUUUUUUCAUGUAAAGGCCUUAGAGAACUGAUUUAGUUAAUGCUAGCCAUAAUUUGUCAUUAAAGAACUUCAGUAAUUCUCCAGUUGACAAAUACACAGCUUUAAAGGUACACCAUUGACAAGCAACAUUUGUUUAGUAUGUGUCACAGAUGCUAGUCAUUAAUAGAUACCUAUAUGACAAACAACCCUAAAGUUCAGUUAGCAUUUUGACAAAGAAAGCAGCACCCCCAAAGUAACAUUUUGGUGAUUGUGGUACAACUGAAUAACCUUGACAUUUCAAUCAUGAUUGCUCAGUUAAUUUUUUCAAUAAAAAGUUGAACAGAUCCAGUC